ACCUACUGUUUAAUUUUGAGGGUUCGUUUUUACGAAUACUCAAAAUUAGCACUUUAAGCAACGGGAUUUAUCCGUUGGCGCUGUGCGUUAGCACUUUAAGCAACGGAAUUUAUUCGUUGGCGCUGUGCUUUAGCACUUUGAAGACUGCAUAUAUAUAUUUAGUGAUAUGACAUCUAAUUUGUAAUAUAUAAAGCUGAUAACUUUUUAAAAUUAUCGAAGUUGAUAGCUUCUAAUCUAUCAAACCUUUUUAACUGGUCAA
rnacentral:misc_RNA from 1 species